rnacentral:rRNA from 1 species
AUUGAACGCUGGCGGCGUGCUUAACACAUGCAAGUCGAUCGGUAACGCGGGGGCAACCCUGGCGACGAGAGGCGGACGGGUGAGGAACGCUUGGGAAUCUGCCCUUCAGCGGGGGACAACACGGGGAAACUCGUGCUAAUACCGCAUACGCUCCACGGAGGAAAGCCGGGGACCGCAAGGCCUGCACUGAAGGAUGAGCCCAAGUCGGAUUAGCUAGUUGGCGGGGUAACGGCCCACCAAGGCGACGAUCCGUAGCUGGUCUGAGAGGACGAUCAGCCACACUGGGACUGAGACACGGCCCAGACUCCUACGGGAGGCAGCAGUGGGGAAUAUUGGACAAUGGGGGAAACCCUGAUCCAGCGACGCCGCGUGGGUGAAGAAGGCCUGCGGGUUGUAAAGCCCUUUCGGUAGGGACGAAAGCUCUCGACCUAACACGUCGGGAGGUUGACUUAACCUACAAAAGAAGCACCGGCUAACUCUGUGCCAGCCGCCGCAGUAAUAC